AGCAGCCGCGGUAAUUCCAGCUCCAAUAGCGUAUAUUAAAGCUGUUGCAGUUAAAAAGCUCGUAGUUGAAUUUCGGGGUUAGUAGAUUGGUCGUGCCAUUGGUACGUACUGGUCUUACUGAUUCCUCCUUCCUGAUGAACCGUAAUGCCAUUAAUUUGGUGUUGCGGGGAAACUGGACUGUUACUUUGAAAAAAUUAGAGUGUUUAAAGCAGGCUAACGCUUGAAUACAUUAGCAUGGAAU
rnacentral:rRNA from 1 species